GGGGAACUGCCUGCAUGCAGUAAGGAGAGAGCCGGACACAUUUAGAGUACAAACCACAGCAGGCACUAAAUUCUUCGAAUCCCUGACUGAUGCUUGCAACUGGCUGGACUCACUGGGAUGCUUGACUGUAUGCAAUACUUAUACACCAAGAGAACAAUUCCUGAGAAGUUUGACAAGGUAUGGGCUCUUGUCCAACCCCCUAAACCC